GAUCGCAGAACGAUUUGUUGUUCUUUUCCAACUCGAUUUUUAACUCCCUAGACUAGUAGGAUGUUCCAGCGGGUGAAGCAACAGUGCUGACGGCAGAGUUUCAGUGUCAAUUUUUCAUGCCAUGAUCACUGGGGCGGAAACCAUUAUGACGUUGCCUUGGACAUCAAACUAAACCAUCUCAUUCUGGCUUUUUUCUAACAUCGAAAUCUCAGAAGGCCAGGACUAAGAUGGACGCAGCCUCCACAUGCAACCUUGCAUUUGAGGAACACCCAUAGAACGGUCAACUUACCCCAUACUCUAACCUGAAUGCAGGGAUCAUAAAACUUUAUCUUUUACCUUAAUUGUUAGAUGGGUGUUGAUACCAAACUUUUUUGUCUCGUCUACCCAGGAGAAAGUCAUGGGUUCUGCUGCUGAGGUUGUCAUAAAGCAUGCUUUUUCCAUUUGUUGCAUUGGGCAAUAUUAUCAAAAGAUUCUGAAAGAAAUAAGAUAAUUUUCAAAGCAUUAACAUGAAUAUGAAAGCAUUAAGUCAUUAAUGACCAUCUUUUAUUAUUGUUUAUUUAUAGUGUCUUUUAUUCUGCUUACCUGACUCAUGCAGAAUUCUGGCUUGAUGUUUGGUCCACCUGUUAGCUGGCUCUGGUGCUUGGUAGUCUUCUCAAACCUCUGAAUCAAGGCCACCAUGAGAGGCCUUCUGAAGACCAUCAUUACGCUUCAGAUCCAGUUGUCUUAACUAUGAGAUAGAACUGAACUGGAGUCUGUGAACUAAUGCUGUGUUCGAGACAACUGGAACAGCAAACAAAGUAAAGUAUCCGACCUCUCAACUUGUGACUGAUCGAUCAGCACCAACCUCAACGAGAUGCAUCAUUUGACAUUGCAGACAAGAUCCUUUCUCUUUUUAAUGCAGCACUUAAGGAUGAACCACCCUGAUCUACUAAGAUGCACAGAUUCAACUCUGGCCCAGCAUCAUCCCCACACCUCAUCUGCCAUCAGUUUAAUUUAAUGUCUGUCAAUUGCAAAUGCUAUUUAUUUCAGUU